UACAGAGGGGGCUAGCGUUGUUCGGAAUUACUGGGCGUAAAGGGCUCGUAGGCGGCCAACUAAGUCAGACGUGAAAUCCCUCAGCUUAACUGGGGAACUGCGUCUGAUACUGGAUGGCUUGGAUUUGGGAGAGGGAUGCGGAAUCCCAGGUGUAGCGGUGAAAUGCGUAGAUAUCUGGAGGAACACCGGUGGCGAAGGCGGCAUCCUGGACCAACAUUGACGCUGGGGAGCGAAAGCCAGGGGAGCAAACGGG
rnacentral:rRNA from 1 species